GUAGUUUUCAUUAUCACCGUAGGCUGAAAGAAGUCACCGUGUAUCUCAUUUAUUUCCAGAGCAAUGCCAGAAGAUACCUACACUGUUCGAGUCAGUGUGGAUGGCGUGCCUAUUGCAGAAAAGAACACUUGCAAAGGCCUCACCAGCAGCCGGGCAUGCAGCUUCAGUGCAAAAAGUUUCAGAACCCCAACAAUAAGGAGCAUCACACCUUUGUCUGGGACUCCAG
rnacentral:lncRNA from 1 species